GUGAAUCAUCAAAUCUUUGGACGCAAAUUGCACUCUCUGGCAUUCCGGAGAGUAUGCCUGUUUGAGGGUCAGUUUAAAUAAAAAUCGAGGUGUUGCUGUUUUGUGACCCCCCCCCCCCCCCCCCCCCUCGCCCUUUUAAAAAGUUUAAGUGACCUAAAAUUGAUAGCUUGUGCAUCUCAGACGUACAUAAGAAUAUUUUUUUAUCCGUCCGGAGUUGCCAACUUUUUAUUAGGUAUGACCAUGCUGUUUGUGGCAUCGUACCUAUAAUAUACUCAUAUUUUGACCUCAAAUCAGGUAGGAG
rnacentral:misc_RNA from 1 species